AGGGAAGAAAAAUUAAAAAGAUGACAGGGCAGGAUCCAGAAAGAACAGACCUGGCAUCUGUCUGUCAUCUCUUGCUUGGGAAUCCCAGAGGCCAGCUCUGUCAUAGUCUCAGUGCAUUUGAGGCACAGCCUGUAUUUCUACCAAGUCCCCACCAGGAGGGUUAGCCCUAGAAAGAGCAGUGUCAGCUCCGGCCCCUCCACCAUGUGGGCAAAGUCGACGGAGCCCCUCCUACUAGAGGACUUUGGUCCCAGCUUGAGACCAGCUCAGACAAGAGGACGGCCAGGGACAGUAAGCAGCCCCACCAGAGGGCAACUGGACCCUCAGUUUGAAGGGAGACAGGGCAGGUGAGCCUGCUCCUGCUGGGAGAGCCAACAGUGCCCAGUGAGAUGGGUGAAGCAGAGGUUGUUGGUCAGCAGAAUCACAGAUUCUCCAAAACUUUGCUGUUGAACGUCAGAUCGGAAUCCUUUGAUGUCAGUGUACAGAGAAAUGGCACUUUGGAGCAGGACACAGUGGCACCUGUCUGUCAUCGCAGCACUCUGGAUGCUGAGGCAAGAGAUCUGAUGUAAGUUUGAGGGCAGCCUGAGUUACAGAUGUGAGACAGACUCUGGAAACAAAACAAAAAUAAGACAGGAAAGGGGUGAGGGAUGGAUGUAGGACACACAAGGAGAUAACAUGCCUUCUUUGUUACUCUGAGAUAACAGCAAACAGUUCACCCUGUCCCCUUCCACUCUUCUUACUCAAUAGUAAGCCCAGGAAAUUUGCACACACCCACUCAUCAGGAGCCUCAAGUCAGUGCAGCCUAGUUGUGCCAGUCACAUCCCUCCAUCCACAGCACCUAGCUAAUUCCAGUCUAUCAGAAUCCUUCUGUCAGCACAACUGAUUGAGACAGGGCCGGUAUCACUCUGCACUCUAGGCUAGCCUGGAAUUCAUUAUGAAGCCCAAUGUGACUUCAAACUCUUAACCCUCCUGCCUCUUCCUCCAAAAUAGAGGGUCACCUGGCCCAGCUGCACCCUACAAUCCAAACCUGUGGCAGUGACCUCCCACAUUGAACCCCCUGGUAAUUAUUCUCCAAGGCUUUUCAUGAUCGUUUGUGUGCUGGAUAGCUUUAGUGUCAACUUGACACACCUGGGUUAAGGGAGCCUCAA